UGAUAGUGUGAUAGUGGUGGCGUUAGGACAGGUUGUAUCAACAGUGUUUUAGUGAUAGUGUGAUAGUGGUGGCGUUAGGACAGGUUGUAUCAACAGUGUUUUAGUGAUAGUGUGAUAGUGGUGGCAUUAGGACAGGUUGUAUCAACAGUGUUUUGGUGAUAGUGGUGGCGUUAGGACAGGUUGUAUCAACAGUGUUUUAGUGAUAGUGUGAUAGUGGUGGCGUUAGGACAGGUUGUAUCAACAGUGUUUUAGUGAUAGUGUGAUAGUGGUGGCGUUAGGACAGGUUGUAUCAACAGUGUUUUAGUGAUAGUGUGAUAGUGGUGGCUUUAGGACAGGUUGUAUCAACAGUGUUUUAGUGAUAGUGUGAUAGUGGUGGCAUUAGGACA